rnacentral:rRNA from 1 species
CAGCAGUGGGGAAUUUUGGACAAUGGGGGCAACCCUGAUCCAGCCAUGCCGCGUGAGUGAAGAAGGCCUUCGGGUUGUAAAGCUCUUUCGGCGGGGAAGAAAUGGCAACGGUUAAUAUCCGUUGUUGAUGACGGUACCCGCAUAAGAAGCACCGGCUAACUACGUGCCAGCAGCCGCGGUAAUACGUAGGGUGCGAGCGUUAAUCGGAAUUACUGGGCGUAAAGCGUGCGCAGGCGGUUUUGUAAGACAGACGUGAAAUCCCCGGGCUCAACCUGGGAACUGCGUUUGUGACUGCGAGGCUAGAGUACGGCAGAGGGGGGUGGAAUUCCACGUGUAGCAGUGAAAUGCGUAGAGAUGUGGAGGAACACCGAUGGCGAAGGCAGCCCCCUGGGUCAGUACUGACGCUCAUGCACGAAAGCGUGGGGAGCAAACAGGAUUAGAUACCCUGGUAGUCCACGCCCUAAACGAUGUCAACUAGGUGUUGGAAGGGUUAAACCUUUUAGUACCGCAGCUAACGC